AGGAGCUGGGAGACGCCUGGAACAGAUUCUCCCUCAGAGCUCCGGGAGGAACCAAGCCUGCCGACACCUUGAUUUCAGACUUCAGGCCUCCGGAACCAGGAGAGAACAAUUUCUGUUGUUUUAGGACAUCCCGUUUGUGGUCAUUUGUCAUGGCAGCCCUGAGAAGUUAAUACACAGAGUAGUCAGACGCUUGGGUGACAUCCCACAGCACAUUGGAUGAUUUCUUCCGUUACCUGGUCUCCCAAGGCCCACGGCCACAGAAAGGGUCCACCGCAAUGACGCUCAUUCCUGAGCAUCCGUAACGCAAUGCUGAAGACAGCAUCGUCUACCCAAAUUGGACGUCCUAAAGAAUCUUCCAGCCUGAAAUAAGAAACAGCAAGCAGUUUUCGUAAGGGCAUUACAGGGGAGUGGUGAUCUUUUCCCCUUAAUUCCAACCAUUUGGUGGUUGAAAAUUCUUUUGCAGCAGAAAAUUUAAGUGGUAGCUUGAAUGUUUAACUUUGCCAACGUUAGAAUGUCCCGGUCUCCAUCUGCUGAGUGGAAGAGAAAGAGAAAACCCUACUAGGACCAGCAGUGGGCCUGCUCAUUCAGGGGAGCAGCUAGCUGCCCCCGCCCCCAGUUGUAUCUCAGACAUGUCCUUCAGCUGUCUGCAAGGGCAAGAACAGUGACGGGACGAGGGGAGGUACCUGCAACUAACAGAAGCCUUUUAGUCAGCUCCCCCUCCCGUGUCCAGCCUGCCCCAACCUCUGGUCUUUUCUAACUCAUCUCUUUGCAAACGUAGACUGGCCAGUCAGACCUGUGUGUGUAGCUCUCCCCAUUGUGUAGACGAGAGGGUGGGAGUUCAGUGGGGUUGACAUGCUUCCUUUCAAAAACCUGAUAAACUUCCCUGGCAUGCCAGCCUUCCAGAAGCUUCUCUGCUCAGCUGCUCAGAGCUUCUUAAUCCUCUAUUGAGAGCUGAUAAUGAGCUUAAUUCUCCAAAGCAAACUCUGCAGCUGCUCAAAUCGAUGACAUAUUACGGACUCAAGAAGGCAAAUAACAGCGAUGGCUUUUAUUUAUAAUCAUGACCACCGGGAUGGGCUGAUGGGCUCAGAAGACUGAGCUGAAACAUUUUUUUUUUAAUCUUUUCAAAAUCCCUUUGAGGCAAGGAGUGGUAAAUACUUUCACCCUCAGCUCACCGAGGAAAUAAGUGUAAUUGAAGAGGAUUAGUGGAGAAGGGGGUUGGGGGAAGAAAGCCUCUGGAAUCCUUUUUUUGCUGCAUUAAAAGGUCACAAAGCCCUGUGUGCUCUCCCCCUCCCGAGGGUCUGAACCAUGUGGCCCCUGAGCCCCUGAAAAGUGGCUGCUGUGAACCAACGUGUUCUCUAAAUAGAAAGUCGAGACGGGGUUUCAAAGUCUUCGUACAAACAAAAUUAAAAUAUCUCAUUAAUAAUAUCUUCGAACGGAAUACCACCUGGUGUGCUAGGCAUUUGUGUCUGUGGUUUUUUUGAUUAUCUGACUUGUGACUCCUUAGAAGCUGGUCUCCCAAAGGACAGCAACGAAUGCAAAUCCCCAUGAGACGCCACACGAAACAAGAGGGGUCAGGGUCAAGCACGUUGGGGAAAAACUGCAGCAGAGUUCAACUUGGCUUUGAAAAGAGGUGAGGAAAAAAAGGGCUCCUGAAGUCUAGCAGCGAAGUUAACACGGCAUUUCAGAAAUGUGCGCCCGCCUGACUCCUGCCCACUCUUCCUUUUAUCUUUUUGCUUUUUUUGGGGUGAGGAAGAUUGGCCCUGAACUAACAUCUGUUGCCAAUCUUCCUCUUUUUGCUUGAGGAAGAUUGUUGCUGAGCUAACAUCUGUGCCCAUCUCCCUUUAUUUUGUACGUGGGAUGCUGCCACAGCGUGGCUUGAUGAGUGGUGUGUAGGUCUGCUCCUGGGAUCCAAACCCAUGAACCCCAGGCCACUAAAGUGGAGGGUGCGAACUCAACCACUACACCACUGGGCUGGCCCCUCUUCCUCCUUUUUUAAUGUCGGCCUAAUACCAAUGAACAGCUCAGGGAAUCACUCCUCAGCAGACCGAGCUGAGCGAGGGUGUAAGGAGUUGAAUAGCUGCACAGGACAGAGUGCCCAACAGAAAAAUGGGGCAAAGCUUGGAACCCACAGUCCACCUGUGAGAACCCCAUUUAAUUGGUGGGUUAUAGCAAGAGUAUGUUGGGGACUCAUGUCUGGGCACUGCAAUGGCCUUUUCUUCUCACAAACAUGCACCUGUGCCUAGAGGGCCCAGCGGCAGGCACAGACACUCCAGCAUCGUCCCAUCUGCUUCCCUGUGCAUCCCAGUUGGGAUCCUACACUCUCCCUUUAAAGCAGCUUAAAAUCCAUGAAAUAAGCUCUUUAACAAUAAAGAACAAAGAGGAAAUGUGGAGUUUUACAAUAAAGAUCAUUUUGUUGGCUUGACCUCUUCCUCAACAACAACCAGCAGGCUGUGUAAGUAGAGAUAAACAUCUUCAUGCCUCGGAAUGAGCCUUUAGCCAGAACCACUGCGGGCUUGAAUGACAGGGCCUUGAAGGAUGUGGUCGGUUCAGUCUUAAAUGCAGAAGGAGGGAGGGCGCACAGGAGGGCAGCUGAGAAGGGCGGGUUGAAAUGGAUGCAUCCACUCAAGCUCAGAUCUGAAAAGAAUUGGAAGCUAAAAGGCCACAUUGUGUCUGAUCUCUCCAUGCUUCUCUCUGACAAACAUGAAGACAUUUGGACUGACUGUUUCUUCUCAUCUGAUUUAUUAUGUUAAUUGGCUUUGGAGCAAAAACAUCUCACAAACGUGAUGGUACAGAAGGUCUCUAGAGAGAUUCCCAGUCUCUUAGUUACAUAGAUUCUUCUUUGGGGUGUAAAUAAAGCAGGACAUGCAUCUUCU
rnacentral:lncRNA from 1 species